UGAGCGCCACGGCCGUGCCGUGCCGUGCAGAUCCGCGCGGGGCCCACACACCAGGGGCCCGACCGCCAUUUUCUGUCCCCUCGUCCCGCACUCGGGAGCGUCUGGGAGCGGAGCCAUCCACCCGGGUCAGCCCGAGACAUCCCAUGCUUUCUUAGGCAAUCUUCUGCAAAUGUGGACCCGGACCUUCUGCCUUUGUUGCCCAGCCUCCCACGUGCUGGUGAGAUUCCAGCCAAUCCCCACCCACGCAAUGCUAAACCUGUCGGUCAAUGGUUGAUGAGUAACAGUCGCUCUUUCUCUACCCGGAGACAUUGGAUGGCAAGCCUUAAAUCCCUCCCAUCUUAAUCUGUGAAGCACAGCCACAGAAGAACUCCCUGCAAUGUGUCUUGAAUGCAAAGGCAGGAUGAAGAGCUGGAAAAACAUGCCUGUUUCUCCUUCUGCUGAAAGAAGGACCUCGGGGAGAUCUAAGACCUCUUGCUCUGCCCUGUCAAAAAGUGGGCAGACAGAACAUAGAUUAUACAGAGUGUGAAGAAAGCUGCACAUCUUUCAAAUGUUCACAGAAAUGUUCCUGGAGGCCCAAGGAAGGAUUGUCCUACCCAGGAUGCAAAGAUGCUCAGGAAAGCAAAGACAAAUAACAAAGGGUAUGAAGUUGAUAUGCUUAAAGUGCUUUCAAAUCUAGUAGUGAAUUAAAUUACCUCAGAUUAAGGCACUUUCCUUCUGAAGAACAGUUGAAACCAAAUUCAGUUAUGUUCAUUGACAUCACAGCUCGGGUUGAUCCCUUUUAUCUUUCCUGCAUGUCCCACAGAUGGUGUGUCCCUCAUGGUGUGGGUAUGGAUGCACCCAGACUCUCUCUGUCUGUUCUAGCCCCAGAUCUGGAAGUGGGAAAGUACAUUGGAGAAGUAUUGACACUGGUUGAAUGUGAGCCAGUGUGGGUCCGGAUGGAGUUUAACUGGACUAUCUUGGCACAGUGCCCAAGUGCCCUGAAACACUGGAGUGGUACCUCUGAAAAAGGUGGUGUAUGUCUCAUCAAAAAUAAAGAAAUUUUGCUUUUGUCUGUCAA